rnacentral:rRNA from 1 species
AGUCGACGGACUUUUCUGAAGCCUAGCGAUUGAAAGUUAGUGGCGGACGGGUGAGUAACGCGUGGGUAACCUGCCUUGUACUGGGGGACAACAGUUGGAAACGACUGCUAAUACCGCAUAAGCGCACAGCUUCGCAUGAAGCAGUGUGAAAAACUCCGGUGGUACAAGAUGGACCCGCGUCUGAUUAGCUGGUUGGUGAGGUAACGGCCCACCAAGGCAACGAUCAGUAGCCGGCCUGAGAGGGUGAACGGCCACAUUGGGACUGAGACACGGCCCAAACUCCUACGGGAGGCAGCAGUGGGGAAUAUUGCACAAUGGGGGAAACCCUGAUGCAGCAACGCCGCGUGAGUGAAGAAGUAUUUCGGUAUGUAAAGCUCUAUCAGCAGGAAAGAAAAUGACGGUACCUGACUAAGAAGCCCCGGCUAACUACGUGCCAGCAGCCGCGAUAAUACGUAGGGGGCAAGCGUUAUCCGGAUUUACUGGGUGUAAAGGGAGCGUAGACGGUUUUGCAAGUCUGAAGUGAAAGCCCGGGGCUUAACCCCGGGACUGCUUUGGAAACUGUAGAACUAGAGUGCAGGAGAGGUAAGUGGAAUUCCUAGUGUAGCGGUGAAAUGCGUAGAUAUUAGGAGGAACACCAGUGGCGAAGGCGGCUUACUGGACUGUAACUGACGUUGAGGCUCGAAAGCGUGGGGAGCAAACAGGAUUAGAUACCCUGGUAGUCCA